rnacentral:rRNA from 1 species
ACUAGCAUAUCAAUAAGCGGAGGAAAAGAAACCAACAGGGAUUGCCCUAGUAACGGCGAGUGAAGCGGCAACAGCUCAAAUUUGAAAUCUGGCCUCGGCCCGAGUUGUAAUUUGCAGAGGAUGCUUCUGGCGCGGUGCCUUCCGAGUUCCCUGGAACGGGACGCCACAGAGGGUGAGAGCCCCGUAUGGUCGGACACCAAGCCUGUGUGAAGCUCCUUCGACGAGUCGAGUAGUUUGGGAAUGCUGCUCUAAAUGGGAGGUAAAUCUCUUCUAAAGCUAAAUACCGGCCAGAGACCGAUAGCGCACAAGUAGAGUGAUCGAAAGAUGAAAAGCACCUUGAAAAGGGGGUUAAAUAGUACGUGAAAUUGUUGAAAGGGAAGCACUUAUGACCAGACUUGGGCCGGGCGGCUCAUCAGGGGUUCUCCCCUGUGCACUCCGCCCGGCACAGGCCAGCAUCGGUUUUCGCGGGGGGAUAAGACCGGCGGGAACGUAGCACCCUCCGGGGUGUGUUAUAGCCCACCGGACGAUACCCUCGCGGGGACCGAGGUCCGCGCUCCGCAAGGAUGCUGGCGUAAUGGUCAUCAGUGACCCGUCUUGAAACACGGACCAAGGAGUCGUCCAUUAGAGCGAGCGUUUGGGUGUAAAACCCGCACGCGUAAUGAAAGUGAACGCAGGUGAGAGCUUCGGCGCAUCAUCGACCGAUCCUGAUGUUCUCGGAAGGAUUUGAGUAAGAGUUUUAACGGACGGACCCGAAAGACAGUGAACUAUGCUUGUAUAGGGUGAAGCCAGAGGAAACUCUGGUGGAGGCUCGCAGCGGUUCUGACGUGCAAAUCGAUCGUCAAAUAUGAGCAUGGGGGCGAAAGACUAAUCGAACUGUCUAGUAGCUGGUUACC